rnacentral:rRNA from 1 species
UACCCGCGGCCCGAGUGGUGCUCAUUAUUAUUGAGCCUAAAGCGUCCGUAGCUGGUUCUGUAAAUCUCUGGGUAAAUCGGGCAGCUUAACUGUCCGAAUUCCGGAGAGACUGCAGGACUUGGGACUGGGAGAGGUUGAAGGUACUCCAGGGGUAGGGGUAAAAUCCUGUAAUCCUUGGGGGACCACCAGUGGCGAAGGCGUUCAACUAGAACAGAUCCGACAGUAAGGGACGAAGCCCUGGGGCG